CCUACGGGAGGCAGCAGUAGGGAAUUUUCCGCAAUGGGCGAAAGCCUGACGGAGCAAUACCGCGUGAGGGAUGACUGCCUAUGGGUUGUAAACCUCUUUUUCAGGGAGGAAUAAAUGACGUGUACCUGAAGAAUAAGCAUCGGCUAACUCCGUGCCAGCAGCCGCGGUAAGACGGAGGAUGCAAGUGUUAUCCGGAAUCACUGGGCGUAAAGCGUCUGUAGGUGGCUCGACAAGUCAACUGUUAAAUCUUGAAGCUCAACUUCAAAAUCGCAGUCGAAACUAUCGGACUAGAGUAUAGUAGAGGUAAAGGGAAUUUCCAGUGGAGCGGUGAAAUGCGUAGAGAUUGGAAAGAACACCGAUGGCGAAGGCACUUUACUGGGCUAUUACUGACACUCAGAGACGAAAGCUAGGGUAGCAAAUGGGAUUAGAUACCCCAGUAGUCCUAGCCGUAAACAAUGGAUACUAGGUGUUGAAACGAGAUACGACCUCGUGCGAGUACCGAACGACUAACGUACGUUAAGUACGUACCGUCCGUCGGAGUAGUGCACGCGAGUAGUGAACGUACGAAGAAGUUAGACGGCGUGAGACGUGCCGACGGACGACGACGAGGGAGGUAGG
rnacentral:rRNA from 1 species